GAUGAACGCUAGCGACAGGCUUAACACAUGCAAGUCGAGGGGCAGCACAGGGUAGCAAUACUUGGGUGGCGACCGGCGCACGGGUGAGUAACGCGUAUGCAACUUACCUAUCAGAGGGGGAUAGCCCGGCGAAAGUCGGAUUAAUACCCCAUGAAACAGGGGUCCCGCAUGGGAAUAUUUGUUAAAGAUUCAUCGCUGAUAGAUAGGCAUGCGUUCCAUUAGGCAGUUGGCGGGGUAACGGCCCACCAAACCGACGAUGGAUAGGGGUUCUGAGAGGAAGGUCCCCCCACAUUGGAACUGAGACACGGUCCAAACUCCUACGGGAGGCAGCAGUGAGGAAUAUUGGUCAAUGGACGAGAGUCUGAACCAGCCAAGUAGCGUGCAGGAUGACGGCCCUAUGGGUUGUAAACUGCUUUUAUAAGGGAUAAAGUGAGUCUCGUGAGACUUUUUGCAUGUACCUUAUGAAUAAGGACCGGCUAAUUCCGUG
rnacentral:rRNA from 1 species